AUAUACCUCUGUUUCGAACUCAGCUACACAUGAGGAGAAUUUAUCACAAACACAUGGUGUGCAGACUAGAAAGGAAUCGUAGAGUAUUGUAAAUUAUGUUACUCUCUACGGUUAUAUGUAACAAACUUAUUCCUUUAUUAUUCCCUUUCUUUUGUAUAUAUAUCGAUACAUCAAUACAAUGAAAUCAAUGAGAUGAAUUCCAUCCAUUCAUGCUUCGUCUAACAUGGUAUCAGAACCAACAUGCCAAUAGUCCUUCUGAUUCUGCAUCAAUGGCGGUCAAUCCAUCUUCUUCCCCUUCCCUUCACUCUUCCGCUACUACUUCUUUUUCUCACAUAAUAACCACAAAACUUUCCAUUGAUAAUUAUCUUUUAUGGAACGUUCAAAUCUCUGCCUACCUACGUGGGUAGGAUCUCUUCUCCUUCGUCGACGGUUCUUCCAAACCUCCAUCAGAGUUCCUUCCCGAUUCCUCCCAAUCUAACCCAAAACCCAACCCUAAUUUUGAUUCUUGGAGGCGUACCGACCAGCUGGCUCCUAGCAUCCUCUUUAUCAAAUAAGGACCUUGUUACCUAUUUGUUAAAUGGACUUUGCCCCUCUUACGAGCUGUUCGUUACCUCCAUCACUACCAAAACCACCCCUGUUUCCUUCCAUGAACUCUAUCAACUCCUUCUUAUCCAUGAAUCCCGACUUACUCAUACAAACCGAUCCAUUAAUUCUUCUCUGGAACCAUCUGCAAAAUAUACCUCCUCUACAAGAGAUCAGUGUGGUCGUGGACCCAAUCGAGGAGGAUGACAAGUGCGUAGUAGGGGACGUUACCCUCACAAUGGUCGCGGUGACAGACCUCCCUAUCCCUUAAAUUCAUCUCAGCAAUACAAUGCUCAACGCUCAACUUGUCAAGUUUGCAACAAGGCUGGACACGUCGCACUUCAAUGCCAACAUCGAUUCAACCACUCGUACCAAUAUAAAGCUCCCAGCAACUUCUCUGCGAACUACACAGCUUAGACUCAGCCUUCUGAAUCGUUUUGGUACCCCGAUUCUGCAGCCACACAUCAUCUCACUAAUGAUUUAUCUAACUUGAAUUUAUCAUCUGAAGCAUAUGCAGGUGGUGAGAUCAUAAGAGUAGGUGACGGCAAUAGUCUUCCAAUCGAAAACUCCGGACAAGGUAACCGGGAAAAUACUCCUCACCGGUCCAACCCGUAAUGGACUCUACCACUUUCCUUCUGCUACAUCCAUUUCGUCGUCUCCAUCAACUCAUAUUGGUGAACGAAUAUCCAUGGAUCAAUGGCACCGAAGACUUGGGCACCCCUCCUUAACCUUGGUCUCUCGCGUUCUGCAGUCCAAGUGUUUGCCAAUAUCUCCCACAGACUCUGUUUUCGAGUGCUCCGAAUGUCCCUUAACAAAAUGUCAUCAGUUUUAUUUUCCUUCAAAAUAGGCCCAUUAUACUCGGCCUUUACAACUGUUAUGUGCUGACCUAUGGGGUCUAACUAUGUCUCAAAAAUGGUUAUAAAUGGCCUCUUUUACACGUUUUA